CAACCCUGGGGCGGGGGGCGAUACUGCCGGGCUAGGGGGCGGAAGAGGCCGCCGGUACUCCGGGGGUAGGGGCGAAAUCCGUUAAUCCCCGGAGGACCACCAGUGGCGAAAGCGGGCGGCCAGAACGCGCCCGACGGUGAGGGGCGAAAGCCGGGGGAGCAAACCGGGCUCAGGUCGGCGUUGCGCAGACAAUCUGAUCAUCCAGUCCCACCACGCGCGCCAACCCCCUCAUCUUUACCAAGCCGACCUGGCCCGGGCUCAAAGGGGAUUAGAUACCCCCGUAGU
rnacentral:rRNA from 1 species